GAUGAACGCUGGCGGCGUGCCUAAUACAUGCAAGUCGAGCGAACAGACGAGGAGCUUGCUCCUCUGACGUUAGCGGCGGACGGGUGAGUAACACGUGUAUAACCUACCUAUAAGACUGGGAUAACUUCGGGAAACCGGAUCUAAUACCGUAUAAUAUAUUGAACCGCAUGGUUCAAUAGUGAAAGACGGUUUUGCUGUCACUUAUAGAUGGAUCCGCGCCGCAUUAGCUAGUUGGUAAGGUAACGGCUUACCAAGGCAACGAUGCGUAGCCGACCUGAGAGGGUGAUCGCCCACACUGGAACUGAGACACGGCCCAGACUCCUACGGGAGGCAGCAGUAGGGAAUCUGCCGCAAUGGGCGAAAGCCUGACGGAGCAACGCCGAGUGAGUGAUGACGGUCUUCGGAUCGUAAAACUCUGUUAUUAGGGAAGAACAAAUGUGUAAGUAACUAUGCACGUCUUGACGGUACCUAAUCAGAAAGCCACGGCUAACUACGUG
rnacentral:rRNA from 1 species